AAAUAAGAAGUAAAAAAAGAUUACAUUUAGUUUCGACCUAAACUUUUGGCAAAGGCCCUGCCCUUAUUUU
rnacentral:tRNA from 1 species